GGUGAGUAACACGUGGAUAACCUACCUAUAAGACUGGGAUAACUUCGGGAAACCGGAGCUAAUACCGGAUAAUAUAUUGAACCGCAUGGUUCAAUAGUGAAAGACGGUUUUGCUGUCACUUAUAGAUGGAUCCGCGCCGCAUUAGCUAGAUGGUAAGGUAACGGCUUACCAAGGCAACGAUGCGUAGCCGACCUGAGAGGGUGAUCGGCCACACUGGAACUGAGACACGGUCCAG
rnacentral:rRNA from 1 species